rnacentral:lncRNA from 1 species
UCCGGUCCUUUUUACUCUGCACAUUGGAUUUGCCGAAAGUCAAACUUUACUAAGUUUGAUCAAAUUUAUAUUAGAAAUUAUUAGCAUCUAUAAUAUCUAAUAAAUAUAAUAUGAAAAUACAUUCCAAGAUGAAUCUAAUGAUAUUGGUGUUGUUAUGUGAAUGUCUAUAUUUUUUUAUAUAAACUUGGUCAAAGUUGGAUGAGAUUGACUUCGGACAAAUCUAAUAUGCAGAGUAAAAAGAACUGGAGGGAGUACUAUGUGGCGUGCUAUAUUUUUAUUCGUAAAAUAAAACAGUUCUUGAAAACGAAUAUAGUGACCACAAUGCCAUGUCACAUGACCUCAUACCAACAAUAACAACAAAGAAAUUACUACUAACAGCCAGGGUCUUGUUGUAAGGGAACAUAAUACGCCAUACAUUUUGAAGCAGAUUUACUCUGUAACGCCCUAGAUAUAACUUUCCCAAUUUGUACUUCAACUCUUGCCGUUUCCGGCAUUAAGUUAUAUUUAUUUUUCGGGUUCGGGUCUUUGUCUCCGUGUGUUGUUUUCUUUUUCAUGCAUCUCAUGUCAUGUCAUCACGUGCAUUGCAUUUGCAUACAUGUUCAUCUCAUGCAUUCGAGCAUUUUCCCCGUUGUCCGUUUUGCAUUCCGGCGCUUCGUUCUCCUCCGGUGGUCAUUUCUAGCUUUCUUUCGUGUGUGGGGAUUAAACAUUUCCGGAUUGGACCGAGACUUGCCAUGCGGCCUUGGUUUACUACCGGUAGACCGCCUGUCAAGUUUCGUACCAUUUGGACUUCGUUUGUUACUCCAACGGUUAACCGAGGGACCGAAAAGGCCUCGUGUGUGUUGCAGCCCAACACCCCUCCAAUUUGGCCCAAAACCCACCAAAUCUGCUCCAUGUCCUAGAGCGUUCGAUCACGAUCGCGUGGCCGAAAACCGCACCUCAUUUGGACUCUCCUAGCUCCACUUAUGCCUAUAAAUAGCCCCCCCUCCAUUUUCGAAUCUCUCCCUCUCCGAAACCCUAGCAAAAUCAUCUCUCCGCCGCCGGACAUGUCCGCCUCCUAGCGGACGAAAUCGCCGCCGCCUCAGCCUCUCUCCACCCGACAAGUGGCACCCGCCACCUACCACCGCCGCCGGCCCGCCCGACCCAGGCGCGGCCCUCCUCGGCCCGUGCGGAGCCGCCGCCGCCCCGCGGGUUCACCGGGCGUCUUCCCCAGCCCCGGCGCCCGAGCCGCCACUCCCCGGCCGCCCCNNNNNNNNNNNNNNNNNNNNNNNNNNNNNNNNNNNNNNNNNNNNNNNNNNNNNNNNNNNNNNNNNNNNNNNNNNNNNNNNNNNNNNNNNNNNNNNNNNNNNNNNNNNNNNNNNNNNNNNNNNNNNNNNNNNNNNNNNNNNNNNNNNNNNNNNNNNNNNNNNNNNNNNNNNNNNNNNNNNNNNNNNNNNNNNNNNNNNNNNNNNNNNNNNNNNNNNNNNNNNNNNNNNNNNNNNNNNNNNNNNNNNNNNNNNNNNNNNNNNNNNNNNNNNNNNNNNNNNNNNNNNNNNNNNNNNNNNNNNNNNNNNNNNNNNNNNNNNNNNNNNNNNNNNNNNNNNNNNNNNNNNNNNNNNNNNNNNNNNNNNNCCUCGCAGCCUCACCGCACCGUCCGCCGCCGCCCGGAGCACGCCGGCGCCGCCCCGGCCUCUCCUCCCCUCAGAAACCGCGAGCUCCGGCCACCGCCACCGAUUCCGGCGCCAGCCAUCCUCGAUUUUCGCGCGCGUGAACAGUACCACUACAGUGCCAGAUCUGGAUCUGGGAUCCCCCGGUUGACUUUUCCCCUCCAACCCUAAUUUUUCGUGCAUAGUUUGACCUAUCAUAUCUUUGCAUCCGUAACUCCGUUUUGGACAUAUGAUAUAUCAAAAUCUUCGCCUCGACGAGUACAUCAUUUCAUUCCAUUGCAUCAUUUGCAUUUGAGUUCAUCUUGAUGCCCAAAAUGUUGUUAGAAGGAGGCAUCGUGAGUUAAAUUGCAGUUUCGUUAGUUCAUCAUUGACUUUUGUCAUUUUUGCCAUGAUUAUUGUGUGCAUGAUAUGCCUGUGAGUCUUUGGGAUGAAUUGUUAAGCAUUUUGUUUUAUUUCCAGAGGUGCCACCCAUGCAUUUUUAGGAUGUGUGUGGUGACUUGUGCAAGCUUGCAAAGAGAGGCACCUGAGAAUUCUGUUUUCAGGGACUUAGUGAUUUUCACUAAGUCUGGGUUAUUUUAGUUCAUGAUGCCAUAUGUUCAGCUUGUUUCCUAGUGAUCUGUGCCUCUCUUGAGGAUGAUCAGUAAGGGAGUUUUGAUAUUCAUGUUAUGCUCUAUCCAUCCAUGUCUUUGUUUGCAUAUGUGGAGUGCUCUAGCUUGAGUCAAUCGAGCUCUACUUUUGCUUCGUGGUAAAUCUGGGCAGAUCGUCAACUUGUUUGCGAUAUUGCCGAUGCUAUUGUUAGUGAUCCGUGCAUGCUAUGCCAUUGUUAUUGCCAUGUCUAGCUAGCAUUUUGUGCCCUCUUUAUGGAUAUAUGCUUGCCUUGCCAUGACUUGCACCGUAGUGAGUGCAUCGAGCUCGUUUACAUGCCUUCGUGAGUUAUAUUUUCAGCAUGUCUCAGUUUUCACUAAGUCUGAAAACUGAUUGUGUUUCAUCUAUGUUCGUGUGCUCGUUAGAGUAUUUUGUGAACCCUUUUGGCCCCAGGUCACUUUGGGUGUUUUUUUAAGCUUGUUGAGUAGCUCUAUGCCAUGUUCUUACUUGUCAUGUUCAGGUUGUGUACCAUGUUGUUUUGCUGCUCCGAAGAGAGCAUCGUGGUCUGAAAUUUCAGACUAGUGUUAAUUUCACGAAGUCUGAAAUCUGUUUUGCUUAUUCGUUUUUGCCAUGCUUGUUUGAACCUCAUAAUGGAUGAAUUUGGUUAUGGCUCAGUGCUAUUUUUUGACAAGCAUCUUGUGUACAUCCCUGCCAUGUAUUUUGUUUUCAUGUUUGGUGGCUGUAGCAUGUUCAUUUCGUUGCAUUUAGGAGCCUACUUGCUGUAAAUCGCAGAUCGGUUCGUUUCGUAAAACGCUUGCCAUUUUCAAACCGUAGCUCCGAUUCCUAUGAUCUUUAUAUCGUUUUCAGGUGAUUUCAUCCCCUCUAUCCAGUGGCACACUUGGUUUUCCAAGUUGAGGCCAGGUUCAUGCAUUUCCUGUCACGUCUUGCAUUUUGCAUCCCGCAUCGCAUCCCGCAUAGCAUACCAUCUUUGCAUCUUAUUGCUUGAGUUUGCACGUGGUUGAUUGUAUCCUUGUUGCUUGUUUGUGUUGUUGGGUAGAGCCGGGAGACGAGUUCGCUAACGAGGAGCCCGUUGAGUUUGCUUUUGAGGAUCCAGUCAACUCUGACAACUGUGCAGGCAAGAUGAUCAUACCCUCGAAAUCACUACUAUCUUUGCAAUGCUAGUUUGCUCGCUCUUUUGCUUUGCCAAUGCUAUGAUGCCUACCACUUGCUUGUCAGCCUCCCAAUUGCGAUGAUUGAGCCUCUAACCCACCAUUGUCCUAGCAAACCGUUGAUUGGCUAUGUUACCGCUUUGCUCGCCCCCUUCUUAUAGCGUUGCUAGUUGCAGGUGAAGAUUGGAGCCGUUCCUUGUUGGAAGCUUUAUUUACUUGUUGGGAUAUCAUUAUAUUGCUAUGUUAUCUUAAUGCAUCUAUAUACUUGGUAAAGGGUGGAAGGCUCGGCCUCUCGCCUAGUGUUUUGUUCCACUCUUGCCGCCCUAGUUUCCGUCAUAUCGGUGUUAUGUUCCCGGAUUGUUGCGUCCCUUACGCGGUUGGGCUAUAAUGGGAACCCCUUGAUAGUUCGCCUUGAUUAAAGCUUUUCCAGCAAUGCCCAACAUUGGUUUUACCAUUUGCCACCUAGCCUCUUUUUCCCUUGGGUUUCNNNNNNNNNNNNNNNNNNNNNNNNNNNNNNNNNNNNNNNNNNNNNNNNNNNNNNNNNNNNNNNNNNNNNNNNNNNNNNNNNNNNNNNNNNNNNNNNNNNNNNNNNNNNNNNNNNNNNNNNNNNNNNNNNNNNNNNNNNNNNNNNNNNNNNNNNNNNNNNNNNNNNNNNNNNNNNNNNNNNNNNNNNNNNNNNNNNNNNNNNNNNNNNNNNNNNNNNNNNNNNNNNNNNNNNNNNNNNNNNNNNNNNNNNNNNNNNNNNNNNNNNNNNNNNNNNNNNNNNNNNCGGUGGCCACCAGGGGCAACUCUGGGCUGGCCUACCCGUACCUAAGACAAUCUGAGUGUGCCCUGAGAAAGAGAUAUGUGCAGCUCCUAUCGGGAUUUGUCGGCACAUUUGGGCGGUGUUGCUGGACUUGUUUUAACCUGUCGAAUCGUCUUGUUGUACCGAGAUACCGAGUCUGAUCGGUGUGUCUUGGGUGGAGGUCUAUUCCUUCGUUGACCGUGAGAGCUUGUUAUGGGCUAAGUUGGAACCCCCCUGUAGGGAUUGAUCUUUCGAAAGUCGUGCCCGCGGUUAUGGGCAGAUGGGAAUUUGUUAAUGUCCGGUUGUAGAUAACUUGAACCUUAAUUAAUUAAAAUGAAUCAACUGAGUGUGUUUCCGUGAUGGCCUCUUCUCGGCGGAGUCCGGAAAGUGGACACGGUGUUGGAGUUAUGUUUGCGCAGGUUGCUCUCUAGUUUCUCGCUCGCGCCUUGCUCUCUCUUCUCGCUCUCUUUUGCGAAUAAGUUAGCCACCAUAUAUGCUAGUCGCUUGCUGCAGCUCCACUUAUACAUUACCCCUUUCCUACCUAUUAAGCUUAAAUAGUCUUGAUCGCGAGGGUGCGAGAUUGCUGAGUCCCUGUGGCUCACAGAUUACUAUUACACCAGAUGCAGGGACAGAUGAUACAGCUCCAGAUGGCGCGCUUGAGCUCAUGUGGGAGUACGACGAGGACUCUCAGCGUUACUAUGUGUCUUUUCCUGAUGAUCAGUAGUGGUGCCCAUUCGGGGUUAGAUUCAGGGCCUUGUCGCAUGUUGGGGGUCUUUACUAUUUCGGCGCCGUAGUCGGGCCAUGAGUGAUUUGUAUGAUGGAUGUUAUUUAUGUACUUUGAUGUGACGUGGCGAGUGUAAGCCAACUAUGUUCCUCCCCUUUAUAUUAUUUAUGUACAUGGGAUAUGUGAUGAUUUCCCAGCUCGCGACAUUGCUUUCAAUGCGGUUAUGCCUCUAAGUCGUGCCUCGACACGUGGGAGAUAUAGCCGCAUCGAGGGCGUUAUAAGUUGGUAAUCAGAGCCUUCCCCGACCUUAGGAGCCCCCAUUGCUUGAUCGUUUUAGCAGCCGAGUUGUGUCUAGAAAAAAUGUUUUGAGUCAUUUAGGAAUUAUAUAUCGGAGAGCUUAGGAAUUCUUUUUACUUCCCAGUCUCAUCAUCGCUCUGGUAAGGCAUCCUGACUUAGAGUUUUGACUCUUCUCUUCUCAAAUUUCACAAAAAAAAAAUUUAGGAUCACGCGAGUAUCUUGGAUUUGUUCCGAUGGCUUAUGAUGAGAACACUGUCUUGGUGCCUCCUGUCAGGGGUUUAGUGGCAGUAUCCCGGGGAGUUGAGCUCUGAGGUGUUGUCAUCAUAAUUUUAUCGUUGCAAUUCUGGUAUACUUGAGAUAUGUUCACGACAUCGAAAAUCUCCUUUAUGCAGUUCGUUGGUGAGAUAACCUCGAUGUCACCCAGUACUGGGGCGGGAGUUCGGGAGUAUCGCCAUAACUUGUAUAACGGAUGCUUUUCGAAGGUUGAGGUAGAUGGUUUCCGAAGGUUUCUUGGUUAUGUGUUGAAGGAUGGAUACAGCUGGAUGUAGUUAUUGCUAGUUUGGGUGAGAUAUUAUGCUUCCCCUGUAUCCCCAACACCUGAUUGCAUAACCGGAAAGUUUCGGGAGUUUCAUAGGUGGGAAUUCAAGUAGCUCGUAGGAUAUCUUUCCAACGGAUAUAUGAUAUGAAAUUGGGGUUCAACGUCUAGUGGUUCGCCUAUUCACGGUCGAUUUUACAGUGGUCUCGUUGUGUCUUAAAGAGUCCUUGGCUAUGCUGACUCGGGGACGCUUCGUAUGUCAUGUGCACUGCCUUGUACAUGAUGGUGCUAUACGAUCGAGCCCGUGUAGGUCCCACCACGAAAACUUCGGACGAAAUCUCUAUCAUAUAUUUGUUCCGGCUUAUUCCGCAAGCCAAUCCUUGGUUUUAUUUUCAGUUGUGGUAUUCGAGUUGCUUCCAAGUCAGGUGUUGAUUCUAUCCCUCGUUGAUUUACCUCUUCUACCUAAUUCUACGUGGCUUCGCAAUUUAGGAAUUUGUGACCACUUCAAGAGAAGUGCAUUCGUUCAUUUUGUUCGGAUGUGAAGACUUUAUGUUGCAAUUUUCAUUCCGUUGGUUUCAGCUUCAUUUAUCUGCCUAUGUGCUAACGGUGGUCAACCUCUUCAGGAUGGCUCCCGCUAAGAGCACCAGUCAGAACCAGAAUCAAGAUCCGCCACCACCUCCGCCUCCUCCGGAGGCUUGGCAAGCUGUGAUGGCCGCAACUAAUGCAAAUACACAGUUGAUCAUGCAAAUCCUCCAAGAGUGGAAUCAAGGCAGUCAAGGGAAUCAAGGCAACAAUCAGAACCAUUUUGCUACUCUGAACCAGUUCCUCGCUAAUGGUCCAAAGACGUUCAGCAAUUGUGUUGAGGCUACCGAUGCUGACGAUUGGCUAGUGGAUCUGGGCAAGCAUUUUGAAUGCAGCAACGUCAGGCCUGAAGAUUUCGUCAAGUUCGCUUCUUUCCAGCUCAAAGAUCAUGCCGCAGAGUGGUUCCAGCAGUACAAGGAUUCCAGAGGUGAACGUUUGAUCACUUGGGAUGAUUUCCAUCGAGAUUUCCGAGCUCAUCACAUUCCUCAGAGUGUGACUGAAAGCGAACGUGAGGAAUUCCGCAAUCUGAAGCAAGGCUCUUUGUCUAUCUAUGACUACAACAAGUUGUUCCAGAAGCUCACCCGUUUUGCCAAGCAGGAUGUUCCUGAUGAGAAGAGCAUGAUCUAUCAGUUCAGGGGUGGUCUCCAUGAAGAAAUUCAGCUCGCUCUUGUCCUCUUCGAGCCGCUGAGAUACGAUGAGUUCUACAACAUGGCACUGAAGCAAGAGGCUGCUCAGUUGAGGUGUGAUGCUUCCAGGAAGCGAGUCAGAGACACUACGCCUUCUUCCUCUACUCAAGUGGCCAAGCAGCAGAAGUAUUGGCUUCCUCCUCCUCCAUUCCGUCAGCCGUAUCAGCAGAAGAGCAAAGGUGGCAGUGGUUCUUCCCACCCACCCAACCCAGGCUUUCAGAACAAGACUUCGUCUCAAGCUCCAAGAUCGAGUGCUCCGUACCACCGUCCGCUCUCAGAGGUCACGUGCAACAAGUGCCUACAGAAGGGUCACUAUGCCAACAAGUGUUUCAACCAUAGGCGUCUUCCUCCUCCUCCUCGUGUCAGAUCGGCAAGUACAGCUGUGGUCAAGCAUAACCCCAAGUCCGCCAAGGUCAACUUGAUGAACGCAGCUCAGGCAGAGGAUUCGUCAGAUGUGAUCAUGGGUAACCUUCCUGUUAACGAUAUUCCUGCAAAAGUUCUUUUGAUACGGGUGCUUCGCAUUGUUUCAUCUCAAGGCCAUUUACAUCUAGGCAUGGUUUGGCUCAGCAAAUUUUGCCUAGUCCAUUAGCAGUCGUCUCUCCUGGUAAGCGCAUGCAGGCUAACUCCAUUGCUCCGGAUAUUUCUAUCAUGUUGGGUGAUUUCAAGUUUCUGGCUUCUCCAACGGUUCUUGGUGAUUCGGAUAUCGAUCUUAUUCUUGGGAUGGACUGGCUCUCUAAGCAUAAAGCUCAGCUUGAUUAUGCGGCCAAGCAGAUUCAACUGACUCAUUCGUCUGAGGAUGUAAUUGUCUUUGCUGCUCGAGAUAAUACAAUCCGAUUGUUUUCUCUCAAUGAGAAGGGUGAAUUGGAUGCUAUUUCGCAGAUCCCAGUUGUUUGUGAGUAUCAAGACGUCUUCCUAGAAGAGCUCCCAGGAUUGCCUCCGCACCGGCCGGUUGAAUUUGUUAUUGAACUUGAGCCCGGUACGGAACCUGUGUGCAAACGUCCCUACAAGCUCGGCCCUAAAGAGUUGAAGGAGUUGAAGAAACAACUCAAUGUUCAAGAAAGAAUGGGUCUCAUUCGGCCUAGUACUUCUCCGUGGGGUUGUGGUGUUCUUUUUGUGAAGAAGAAGGAUGGAACGGACCGACUUUGUGUUGAUUAUCGUCCAUUGAACAAGAAUACCAUCAAGAACAAAUACCCACUUCCCAACAUCAAUGAGCUGUUCGAACAACUCAAGGGUGCCCAAGUAUUCUCCAAGCUUGAUCUCCGUAUGGGUUAUCAUCAAAUUCGUAUUCGUGAGCAAGAUAUUCCCAAGACGGCUUUCAGGACAAGCUAUGGGUCAUAUGAAUACACUGUCAUGUCUUUUGGCCUCGCCAACGCUUCUCCGAUGUUCUCUCGCAUGAUGAACUUCAUCUUCAACCCCUACACCAAUGACUUCGUUUUGGUCUAUCUCGACGACAUUCUGGUUUUCUCGAAGAACAAGGAAGAUCAUGCCAAGCACUUGCGUUUGGUUCUUGACAAGCUUAGGGAACAUCAGUUCUACGCCAAGUUGUAAGUGCAUCUAGUGCCACCCCUAGUUGGUUUUGGAGUAUUGACGACAAACCUAGUUGAGGGACUAAUGUGUUUGUGAGAAUUGCAGAAUAACACAGGUAGAAGUCCCUCUUUGAUUCGGUUUAGCUACCAGAGAUGACCCCCAAAAAUGUAUGAAGAUAUUGAAGACAAUGGUGGUUCAUGAAGACAUUCAUGUCGAAGACAAUGACAUAUGAAGACUCCCCAUGAAGCUUUUGGAACUCGAAGACUUAGAUCCUUCGUAGCUUUACUUUAUUCAUGUUGUGUCAUAGGAACCACCGUACUGUUAAGUGGGGUCCAAGAAAACCAGUCAGGAUGACUGAAGUGAUGCCUAAUUCAAAUCCUAUGUCUUCAAGUGAAGACAAUGAGAGAAAAAUCUUGUCCAGAGUCAGACAAGUCAGCUUUACUUGCAGCCCAAGUAAAGUUGCCGCGAGAGUUCAAAAUCCGACCGUUAGUACACGUGUCAGUUCCUUAGUGACCGAGGGUCAUUUCGGACAAAUCAGGUCAGGGUUGCCAAGUGGCUAUAUAUAGCCCAGCCCCACAACCAUAAACGGUUGGCUGCUCAGAUUUCAGUGCACGGCUUUUGUCGUUUGAGAGCAACCCACCUCGAAACCUUUGAGAGAAAAUCCUUAGUGAGGAGAAAAUCCCUAACCACCCAGAGCCAGAGUAAAUUGGGCAUCACUUAAGUCUUCUUGUCUGUGUGAUCUGAAGACUUAUUACACUUGAGGACUGUGCAUCCUCCAGACGGUUAGGCGUCGCAUUCUGAGCAUCCAAGAGUAAUUGUGGAUUGCCGGUGAACGAAGUCUGUGAAGGUUCGGGAGUCUACCUUGAAGACUUACCUGAGUGAUUGGGCGAGGUCUGUGUGACCUUAGCUCAAGGAGAAUACGGUGAGGACUGGGUGUCUUGGACUAAGUGUCCUUGACUGGGUGUCCGGGACUGUGUGUCCUUUGGUUUGAAUACCUAGCCGCUCCAACCAGACGUACAGUUGUCACAGCAACUGGAACUGGUCCAACAAAUCAUUGUCUUCAACGUGUCACUGGUUUCAUCUUCACUUCCCUUCAACUUACUGUUAUUCAUUGAGAAGCCAUUGCAUGCUUGCUCUAUCUUUUAUCUUCACAACAUAACUGUAUGAUUUGAUUGGCUUCAUAACUUCUUCCUACCUGAUCCUAAUUACACUGAAGCUAUUGUUGCUGUGCUUUCACUCUAUUGAAUACUUGACCUUAGCUUGCUUGUGUAAUCUAACUUCCGCUGCAUAAUGAUAGGCAUAUCUUCACUGUUUGUCUUCAUAACUUCCACGUUUUGAAGACUUUCAUAAAAAUCGCCUAUUCACCCCCCCUCUAGUCGAUAUAACGCACUUUCAAUUGGUAUCAGAGCAAGGUGCUCCCUUGUUCUGUGUGAUUCGGUUUAACCACCUGGAGUUUUAGCUAUGUCGACUGCAGGGAUAAUUAAAGUCUCCGCUGCGUGCCCCGUCUUCGAUGGAACUGAAUAUCCCUACUGGAAGAAUAAGAUGCGCAUGCAUCUUGAAGCCAUUGACGUCGACCUAUGGUAUGUCGUCGAAAACGGCGUUCCCAAGGCUGGAGAAGGUGUCACUGCUGCUGAUGUCAAGAAGUUCACUCAACUGGACUCCACUGCCAAGAAUAUUAUCUGUGGUCAUCUGACCAAGGGACAGUACGGCCGUGUGAGUGCCUUGAAGACAUCCAAGCUGGUCUGGGACUGGCUCUCCAAGGUCAAUGAAGGCAUCUCAACCCAAAGAGAUCAGAGAAUCAGUGUUCUUCGCAAUCUCUUCAACCGCUUCAAGAGAAAUGACAAUGAGAAUGUCCAGCACACAUUUGACCGGCUCACUGACAUCACAAAUGAGCUUCAAGCCCUCGGCGCCACUGAGAUCACCAAACAUGAAAUCGUCAAGACGCUGCUAAGAUCACUUGACAGUUCAUUUGACAUUCUAGCCCUGAUGAUUCAAGAACGUCCAGACUUCAAGACACUCGAUCCGUCUGACAUACUUGAGAGGCUCAACACACAUGAGUUUCAGCUUUCUGAGAAAAGAGAUAUCUAUGGUCCAAACUAUGGGCGAACUCGUGCCUUGAAGGCAAAAGCUGUGUCAUCAUCUGAAGAGGAAUCUGACAGCAGUUCUGAUGAUCCUGAAGACAUUGGAAGGGAACUUGCAAUGCUAGUGAAGAAGUUCCAGAAAUUCACCAAGAAGAAAGGCUUCAGAAAGUCUUCACGAUCAAGCUCAAGGAAUGAUGAAGCUUAUGCGCAUGACUACAAGAGGAAAACUUGUCACAAAUGCAAGAAAACUGGACACUUCAUCUCUGAAUGCCCACAGUGGGACAAUGAGAACAGAAAGAAGAAGAAGAGCAAGGAAUAUGACUCUGACGAUAAGAAGACGAAGAAAUACUCAAAGUCUUCGUCCAAGUCUUCCUCAAAGUCUUCAUCACACAAGAAGAGGUCAUCUGGCAAGGCUCGUGCAUUUGUUGGCAAGGAAAUGGAUUCAGAGGAGGAGUCUGCGUCUGAGGAGGCAGAGGUGGAGUCUGAGGAGGAAUCUGAUUCUGGCAUUGCGAGUCUGGCUACUGCCUAUGUUGCCAAGUCCAUCUUCAACACUGAAGACAAUGACUUCAUCACCAGCACCGACGCUAAUGACGAGGACGACUCCACUCCCACCUACUGCUUCAUGGCCCGUGGUGCCAAGGUAACCAAACGCACUACUCACUAUCAAACAUCCAGUGCCGAUGACUCUGAUUGUGAUUCGAAACCUAGCUACAAAACUCUUGCUAAAAUUGCAACUGAACAACAAAAGGAUAUGGAGCACAUACAAAAGCUGUUAGAAAGAAGCGAUGAUCUGUUGGGUGCUGAAAUGACUCGUUCUGAAUCCUUAAUUGAAGACAUAAAAAAUCUUCACAUUAAGUAUCAGGAACUUGAAGAUCGUCUUGAGACUCUCUCAACUACUCAUGAAAAGCUCUCCUAUGAUUAUCUUCAAAGGAAGCAAGAUCUUGAGAAGUUGAGAGCGGAUCAUGAAGAUCUUCAAAAAGAAAACGAGUCACUUCGAGCCGAACAGAUCAGUUCCGCUCCAGAAGGAUUUGAACCACCAUGCCUUAAAUGCAUUGAGCGUGAUAAUGCUGUUUCUGUUGCUGAAUGUUCCACUGCUACUGCUGUUGAAAUAUCUUCAACUGUUGAAGUGGUAACUAACCCCUCUGCGGAGGAUACCACUGCUAUUGCUGACGAAAAUGCUAGGUUGAAGACAUUGCUUGAAACAGGGAUGUACAAAAGUCUCAAAGGGCAUCAGACAUUAUGUGAUGUCCUCAAGAAGCAGAUUCUGAACCGAAACCCUAGGAAGGAGGGUGUUGGGUUCACAAGGAGAAUAAAUGCAGAUGGCUCUUACUGGAAACCUGAGCAGUAUCCCAAAACCACAUGGGUUGCUGCAAAGGAAUCCUCAUCAGAUCCAUCCAAUCUGUCUGGCUUCACGUGUGCCAAUCCCAUUAUUAUUGAUGAAUCCUUUGAUGCAAACUAUAAACUAUUUAAGAAUCAGAAUGGUGAAGUGUUUGCCAGAUACAUUGGUACUAACUGCAGGAAUGGACCGCCUAUGAAGAGGAUCUGGGUUCCAAAAACGUGUCUGGAAAAUCUUCCUGUGAAUGUCUUCAUGACACCUCACUUGAAGAAGACAAACCCCAGACCAAAGGCUUCAUACGGUCCAAAGGCUUCAUACAGACAGAGGACUCACCUGAGUCACACUAACGCAAAUCUUUUGCAGGGAAACCAUACUCAGGCAUAUGAAUAUGAGAGCGGUUCGUCAAACCGUCAUGUUCAUAUGACCAAGAACUAUUCUGCCUAUUCUUAUGAGUACUAUUGUCCACCUGCUAGACUGUUUGCUAGGGCUCCAAAGCUAAAAUUCUCAGAUGCUGCACUUAGACUUAUUGCUUCUAAGCCACCCUUGAAGAUGUGGGUGGUUAAGAAAGCUUAACUCUCUUUUGCAGGGAAAGGUCUCCAGCUCAAAACCAAAACCUUCUGAUGCUACUGCUGGGGACCUUAAAAAACUUGUGGGGCGCAAGAUCAAAUGCCCAAAUGGCAUCACUAUGUAUUUUAUAUCUGAAUCGCAUGCUACUCUCCCUGCUUGUCCUAACCUGGAUCUCAGUUUUCAUAAUCCACUGGUUCGUCAAAUGUUCUUGCUUCACAACACUCUUGGUGAAGCCUAUCCCCCUAACUGCACUGUAGGGUACGACACCAGUAACUUCGGAGUCUUCAGUAUGGAUUAUUGACAGCGGGUGUACAAAUCACAUGACUGGCAAAAGAAGUCUCUUUAUGGACUCAACCUUACGUCCAUCCGACAAGAGCCACAUCACAUUCGCUGACACUGGUAAAAGUAAGGUUCUGGGUCUAGGUAGAGUUGCAAUCUCAAAGGAUCAACACAUGGAUAAAGUCAUGUUUGUUGAAUCCCUUGGCUUCAACUUAAUGUCUGUCUCAAUGCUUUGCGAUUUAAACAUGAUUGUGAUCUUUGGAAAAUAUCGUUGUAUGGUACUAAUGGAAUCUGACAAGUCUCUAGUGUUUGAAGGGUAUCGAAAAGAUGAUUUGUACGUGGUAGAUUUCUCAGCAGGGCCACAGCUUGCAGUUUGUCUUCUCGCAAAGGCUUCAGAAUGCUGGCUUUGGCAUCGAAGACUUGGGCAUGCUGGCAUGAGGAACCUCCACACCCUUGCGAAGAAGAAGCAUGUCAUAGGCAUCGAGGGCGUCAAGUUCAAGAAAGAUCACUUAUGCGGUGCCUGUAAAGCUGGAAAGAUGACGAGGGCAAAACAUCCUUCGAAGACAAUCAUGACCACUACUCAACCCUUCGAACUGCUUCAUAUGGAUCUCUUCGGUCCCACUCACUACUCAACUUUUAACACUACUGCUUGCCUCUAUGGCUUCGUUAUUGUUGAUGAUUAUUCUAGAUAUACGUGGGUGCACAUAAUCCUUUACAAGACUGAAGUGCAGGAUGUCUUCAGACGCUUCACCAAUCGAGCUAUGAACAAUUAUGGCGCCAAGAUAAAGCACAUCAGAAGUGACAAUGGCACAGAAUUCAAGAACACUGGCCUUGACACAUAUCUUGAUACAUUGGGCAUCACUCAUGAAUUCUCAGCUCCAUACACGCCACAACAGAAUGGCAUCGUCGAACGCAAAAACAGAACACUCAUUGAGAUGGCCAGAACAAUGUUAGAUGAGUACAAGACACCAAGAAAAUUCUGGACUGAAGCCAUUGACACUGCAUGCCAUACUAUCAACCGUGUAUAUCUUCACAAGCUGCUGAACAAGACACCUUAUGAACUCCUAACUGGCAAGAAGCCAAACGUCAGUUACUUCAGAGUAUUUGGUGCAAGAUGCUGGAUCAAGGACCCACACCAUACCUCUAAGUUUGCACCAAAAGCACAUGAGGGCUUCAUGCUUGGAUAUGGAAAGGAUUCGCACUCCUACAGAGUCUUCAAUCUUUUUCACUACAAAGUGGUUGAAACAGUGGAUGUGCGGUUUGAUGAAACCAAUGGAUCUCAAAGAGAACAACUGCCAAAUGUGCUAGAUGAAGUUCCAGCUAGUGAAGCAAUCAAGCUAAUGGGAACUGGAGAAAUUAUACCUUCUGAAGCUCGUCCUGAAGAAGAACUUAUCAUCUCAGCACCUGAUCCACUUGAAGAUAAUGCUCAGACUGAAGACAUACCUCCCCAUGAUAAUGUAGAUCAGCAAGAGCAAAGUCUUCGACCCCUACAUCCUCGUGUUGCCAAUGAAGUGCAAAUUGACAGAAUAAUUGAUAGCAUCAAUGCACCUGGUCCACUGACUCGUUCAAGGGCAACUCAACUGGCAAACUUCUGUGGGCACUUCGCAUUUGUCUCAAUCUCAGAACCCAAGAAAGUUGACGAAGCCUUUAUGGAACCUGAAUGGAUUCAAGCUAUGCAAGAAGAGCUUCAACAAUUUGAGCUGAAUGAUGUAUGGGAGUUGGUUAAGCGUCCUGAUCCACGGAAGCAUAACAUAAUAGGCACCAAAUGGAUAUACCGCAACAAGCAAGAUGAGCAUGGCCAAGUCGUCAGAAACAAGGCUCGUCUCGUUGCUCAAGGAUACACUCAAGUGGAAGGCAUUGACUUCGAUGAAACAUUUGCUCCUGUAGCCAGACUUGAAGCCAUCCGUAUACUGCUGGCCUAUGCAAAUCAUCACAACAUAAUUCUGUAUCAAAUGGAUGUGAAAAGUGCCUUUCUCAAUGGCAAGAUUGAAGAAGAAGUGUAUGUUGCACAACCACCAGGGUUUGAAGAUCCAAAACAUCCUGACAUGGUAUACAAGCUCAAAAAGGCACUAUAUGGCCUCAAACAAGCCCCUCGGGCCUGGUAUGAUACACUCAAAUACUUCCUGAAGAGCAAAGGCUUCAUACCUGGUUCCCUGGAUCCCACUCUCUUUACAAAGACAUAUGAUGGUGAACUGUUUGUGUGCCAAAUAUACGUGGAUGACAUUAUCUUCGGCUGCACCAAUCAGAAGUACAGUGAGGAGUUCGGAUAUAUGAUGCAAGAGCAAUAUCAGAUGUCUAUGAUGGGGGAGCUGAAAUUCUUCCUCGGUCUUCAGAUAAGGCAACAACGCAAUGGCAUCUUCAUAUCUCAAGAGAAAUACCUCAAAGACUGCCUGAAGAAGUUCGGUAUGCAAGAUUGCAAAGGCUUCACAACACCAAUGCCAGCCAAACAUCAUCUGGGUCCUGACGACAAUGGUAAAGAGUUCGAUCAAAAGGUAUACCGCUCCAUGAUUGGUUCUCUGCUUUAUUUAUGUGCAUCUAGGCCAGAUAUUAUGCUUAGUGUUUGCAUGUGUGCUCGAUUCCAAGCGACACCAAAGGAGUCGCAUCACUUAGCUGUGAAGCGAAUUCUUCGAUAUUUGGCUCACACACCAACUCUGGGAUUGUGGUAUCCAAAGGGCUCAGAGUUUGAUCUGGUUGGAUUCUCGGAUGCUGAUUAUGCUGGUGACAAGGUUGAUCGGAAGUCCACAUCAGGCACAUGUCACUUUCUGGGCCGAUCUCUUGUCUGUUGGUCUUCAAAGAAGCAGAACUGUGUAUCUCUCUCCACUGCUGAAUCUGAAUACAUUGCUGCUGGAUCCUGCUGCGCUCAGCUUCUAUGGAUGAAGCAAACCCUCAAGGAUUAUGGCAUUCAUCUAAAACAAGUGCCACUUUACUGCGACAACGAAAGCGCCAUCAAGAUCGCCAACAACCCAGUUCAGCACUCGAAGACAAAGCACAUUGAAAUUCAUCAUCAUUUUCUCAGAGAUCAUGUGGCAAAGGAAGAUAUUGAUAUCAUACACGUCAACACUGAAGAUCAAUUGGCAGAUAUCUUCACCAAGCCCUUGGAUGAGAAGAGGUUUUGCAAGUUACGGUGUGAGCUAAAUAUCUUGGAAUCCUCAAAUGUCCAGUGAUCAGGCACACAUCCUAACACUUAUGCAUAUUGACGACUUAGGUGUGCAACACACGAAGCAACGUAUAUCUUCAAUCAAUGAAGACAUACACUCUAAGUGUGAAUACAUUAAUGCGGAAAUAGACUUCGGAGCGCCACGAUAAUUGUGCGCCGUGUCUGGGUCUAAUACUUCCUAUACGGUGGGUAACGCCACCACCAACCAUUCUAUUUGAAGUGUUUCAUUCAUGGCGUUACCUCGCAAUGUCUUCACAUUUAGUUUGGCUUCAAUCCCAACAUGUCUUCAUGAUUAUCUUCACUAUGUUGAUUACAUAUGCACUGGUGUUCUGUCCUCUACAGCAUUCACUUAUAGCUAUGUCUUCUUGUUUGAAUUUUUUGAACUAAGUGAAUGUGAUCGGACCCUAACCUCUCCAUGCUUCCUACCUCAAACUCUAUCUCUCCAAGUCUUAUGCAUUCUAUUGAAACUGUCGAAUGUCUUCACUGCACCCUAGUCAGUUGAAGACAAAGAGACAAACUUUAAAACCGUUUUCAAUGCUCCGGAGAAGUAGGAACGACCGCCCGACAGUACAGGCGAACGAGGGAUGUGGAACUGCCCCCGAGAUUCCGCAUGAUGGCCACGUGCUGUUCAGAUGCGAACCGCCCGGGGCACCUAAGUAAUAGCGCAAUGCCGCCUCUGUUCCUAUAAGUACACGAUUCACAGCGGUCACUAUUUCUUCUUCCACCCUCGCUCGCACGAACCCUAGCGCCACCGCUAGCCCUAGACGACGCCGGCGACGAAGCGCUUCACUGCCGCAACCUCUUCGACGCCGUUUUCACGCCGACCGCGGACCUCAACCUCUCCGCCGUCGCCGUAGGUGUCUUCCGUCGCCAAGUUAGGGCACGGAGGAUCGAACUGCUCGGCCUCAAAUCCCACUUCGUCUAGCAGUUCCAAGUGUGGUAAUUAAAACCCCUUUUUACUGCCUCUUUUGAUCCUAUAGCUCAGUCAUUCUCUUCCAUAAGAAGUUUACUGCUAUCACAAGUAACAUCUCUCUCAGCCUGCAUCUCAUAAACUGCCUAGAAUCUUCACUUGUGCAUCCUGAAGUAGUUAGAUUCCUCACUUGUACUUAUCUAUGGGUUCGUACAAAUCUGGAACCAACUUCUUUUCUCUAAGUGAAUGUCUUCGCAUAAUGAGGUCAAUGUCUUCUAAACGAAUUUAUCUUCAAAAUCUUCUGAGAAUGCAUAUGACCUCUUCCCCUUCCCUCGCACCUCAAUGCUGUCACAGGUACAUGUCCAUGGGAGAAUCUUUUGGUUCUCAUAGUCUGCAUUCAUUUGCAGAGUUCCUACAGCGUCACAUCAAUUCACCCGAAGCAAGUUCCUGUUGGUCAAGCAAAAGGAAGCCUUCGAAGCCUUUGAAUCCUUUGAAUCUUUUAAAGUCUUCCAAGUUAAGCUUCAUGGCUUCCCAGAAACAAUCAAGGAAGGGAGGCAGACAGAGACGAGGUGACACAUCAAAGGAUCUGCCUGAAGACUUGGCAGAAACGUACCAAACAGAUCCUGAAGAAACCUAUGCUCAGCGCAAGAUACGAAUCCAAUGGAUUCGCAGGUACUGGGCGGAGCAGUGGUUCCUAUACCGCUUCGUCACCAAAGAAUAUGCAGAGAAGUGCGCCAUCAAGCGGCCAUGGGGAGAUGCCUUGUACAAGAAUCUUGUACCCCGAACCAGAGACGAAGCCAUAGCUCAAGGUUUCUUUCCAUGCAUGGUUAGGGGACAACAGCCAGCUGAUGCACAUCCAUCGUCCCUUCUCUGGUGUCGCGAUGACACUCUUUUCAAGCGCAACUUCCAAUUUGCCCAGAACUCUGCGAAGCAAAACAAGAAGGAGUUUGGAUUGGACUUCAACCCUGGUCCCUCCAAACCAAGGACAGAUGGCACACGCGACGCUAAUCCCAAUGUCAUCGGGCCAUUUGCCAAUCUCGACGGCCUCAUCACUCACAUUAUAGUCCAAGGGACUACCGUGAACGACCCUCCAGCAGACACUGAGUCUGAUGAUGCUCCUGCUGCCCCAGAGCCAAAGCAGAUGAAGAAGAAGCCAAAAGCUUCCAAGCCAGUCGCCUCCCCCAAGAUCUCCAAAGCGAAGCCAUUGGCCACUGCACCUCCUGAAGCCAGUGUGCAGUCUGAAGGCUUAUCAAGAGUCUCCAAGCCUCAAGAUGCAAAGAAACCACAGCCACACACCAGCAAAGAGCUAACUGUCGCUGCCGUUCUUCGCUGCGAAGACAUUGAUCUGUCCAGUGACGAAGAUCUUGGUGAUGACGCUCUUGAGCAGCUCAUCAAGAGCAAGGAGGAGGCUGAAAUCUUCAACAAUCUGCCUCUGUUCGAUGCAAAGAUCAUCCACAGCUUCAUGGAUGAGUGGUUUGACACGCCCAACAUCAGCUUUGACGAUCUGCAGCUGCCCAUUGGCCUCAGCGUGGCCUUCCAAGGAGCUAUCGCUUCAGAACUCGCUAUUGCCCAGCGCAUCGUGGAACUGAAGCAAAAGAUAGAUUUUGAGAAGGCUCAGUUUAAGCAGAACAUGGCCACGCUCAGCGUCCAGGAGAUCAAAGACUUCAAGGUCAUGCUGCAUGAACUGAAGGAAAACUUCAUGCAGAAACGUGCAGAGGCUCAGGGAUCCCGCGAGCGCAUGAAGCAUUUGGCUGAUCUCUGCGUACAGGCCUACAACGAGGCCGAGAAGCGAAAGGCACUUGGGCGUCCCGGCAUCGACCCCAGGAUGGCCGCCAAGAAAAAGAAGACGCCCACCAUGGCUGAAGAAGAGGGCCCACGCCAAGAAGCUAUUCCAACUGUCUUCCCCACCGACAAGCCUAGCUCGAAGCCAAAGCGCUCACCCGCUUCAGAGCUUAAAAAGACAAGGAUAGCCGAAGCCAAAGCAAGGAAGAGAAAACACUCUGAAGCCUCUCCUUCAGACCCCACCACCAAGAAGCGCAAGUCCAAGAAGUCCCGGGCUGCUCCCACAGAGCCCUUGAUGGUUGAACCCCUUUCCGUUCGCCGUCCUAAUGAAGAUCGUCAGCUGACCGUCCAUGAGCCUGCUCUCACCGAGGCUCAGCGUGAUGAAGACAUUCCAGCAGCCGACCCCACCGCGGCUGAAGACAUUGGUCUCGAAGACAAUGUACAAGAUGAUGCAGUCCUUCCUCAGCUCGAAUCGAGUGAAUUGCUCAGCAUUGGUCGUCCCUUGACGCCAAUCACACAAGAUGCAUCGUGGGCAGAUCGCCCACAGGAGGAAGAGGAUGAGCCCCAGACCACUGCAACUCCACCAGCAUCGCCUGCAUUCCGUAGGCUUCGCAGAGGACCAAGGGCUCAAGCGGCUGACGACAUUCCGGCUGCACCAGCCGAAGACAAUGAGAAAGCACCACAGGAACCCCAAGCUCCAACUCCACCACCCCAACAAGAGGCCGUUCUCCAGGAGAACGUGCCUGAGUCCGUUCCUCUCACUGCACGUGCUGAGGAUGAAAACAUUGAGGCUGCCACACACAAUGCUGAAGCCAAUGUGGAGCCCUCUCCGACAAUAGCUUCAGAACAUACUGAAACUGCUGACCCUGAACCUUCUGCACCAGAGUCUGCUGCCGGCCCGCAAUUCAACUAUCACAUUGCGCACAGAUCUCAGGUUCAGAAGCCAAUUCCACGACUGCCAAGGUUCCCAGGACCAGUCACUGCUCCUGGCUCCUUCAAUGUCAAUAGCUUCAGGGCAGACAACACUUUCUUCAACCGCUCCAAGAACCCUUACUCAAGGGAAAAGAUUGUGUCAGAUAGGUUCUGGAGCUACCCACAGCGCAGCUACUACUCCUGCGUCCUCUACAACCAGAACCGUAUCUUUCCACAUCAGCGCCUUGAAGUUGAAGCUUUUGCUGGUCUGCCUGGUCUGGAAGAAGCCCUGGACUGCUUCAAGCAAGUUGGCCUGCUGCCAUUUGUCACGGACGAAGAGCACUGGAACGAAGAGCUUCUGCUUCAGUUCUAUGCCACAUUGCACAUCAAGGGAUACAACAGAGAUCCGAAGACUUGGGUCCUGGAGUGGAUGACCGGCAAUGUCCAUCAUGAAGCCAAUGCAUUUGAUAUCAUUGAGCUCACCGGCCUACCCACUCCAGGCGAACACUUCGAAGAAGGCUGCCAACUCCACAGUGAAGCAGUUGAGAGCAUAUUUCAGCGACCUGAACCGAAUAUGAGUCAGAUGCUCUCGAUGAUGAAGCCAUUGCCUUCUGAUGCACCUUACCCAGCGGAGUUCUUCGUUGAAGACUUAGAGUACCUGCCGAGAACUAUCUAUCACAUCAUCAGGCGGACUCUAUGGCCCAUUAAGGGGCACUCUCGAUAUGCCAAGGUUGAAGGUGCCAUGAAGACUCUCAUCUUCUGCAUCCUACACGGCAAAUGCUUCAAUGCCCAGGAUCUCUUCAUCCGUCAACUUGCUGCGUCUGGCUCAGAUCUCUUUGGUCUGAAGAUUUAUGCUCCAUGGGUUAUGAGGCUAAUCAAGCUCCACUCUGCGAUAUCAUAUCAGCCCUCAGCCCGCAACCACAGAAUCUUCUUACCCGAUGUGGACACCUCUGCUGAAGCCAUUUAUCCUGAGCCUGCCAAACAGCCACUAAGUCUUCAGAAUGCAGAACACCAAAGCUUCACUCCACAUGAUGAAGGUGUUGAAGCCAUUUCCAGAGUCUAUCCAAUGGCUGGCACCACACGUGCCCCUGCAUCCACUGAAGACACUGACAGCGAAGCUGGGCAGAGACCCAAGAAACGAGCUCGUACACUCACUGAUCGUGAACUUCUUGUGGCUCUGCAUCAAAAGCAAGAUAGGCAUCACGACUGGCUCAAGAGGCAGAUGCACAGUCUCAUGCAAGACGUCAAUCGCAUCAGGAAUCUGGCCACCAAGAACGCCUUCGUCGCACACGAAACCUGUCGCCGCACUUGGAAAGGCCUCACUAUGAUGUGCACUAAAGCUGAAUUGCAAGAGGAUGGCUUCAAGGAGCGUUUCAAGUUUGACUCCACACCCCCCAGAAGAGCUGUGUUGCGUGGGACUCCUUCACUUGAAGAAUCCGAGUUCUCUUCCUCUGCUGCCACCGUGACGGGAAAAAUCAUUGAGGAAGAAGACGACGCCACAUCACCACCAAUGACUUCACCGCGCGUCGUCACUGCCCCAAGCUCGCCUGCACCACCAAACGUCUCCUCCGACCCUGCUGCGCCUGGGAACGCAUAGAAAACUCUAUGUCUUCAAACCUUUUUGGUCAUCACUGACAAAAGGGGGAGAAGCAUACGAUGUUUAUAGUCUUCAAGCGGGUCAAUAAUAUGGGCGGGUGCUUUAUAUUUUGCAUUUUGCUUCGUGCUUACAACUCUCGUUUUGCUACAUUUGGUUCUUUGAGUUGUAACACUUAGACUUGAUGGUCGUCUGCUACUAUGUUUGCCAAUGUGUUCAUGCGACGAUAAUUUCCGCACUCUUAUCGUUUCGCAGACGUCCAUUUUUCAUUAUGCAUAUCAUUAUCUUCAUAUAUCUUUACGUGCAUGAUGGAUUGUCAUCAUAAGUUGAAGCCGAUUCCCACAAAUACAACCUGCUGUGUGCAUUUGCAUUCCAGAAGCAAAUCACUUAACAUGCACAUCUUCAGGGGGAGCCCUUGCAGCCUAUGAAGACAAUUCCUUUACAAUUUCACAAAUUAUAUUCCCCGUUGAAAACUUCAACUAGUUUGUCAUCAAUCACCAAAAAGGGGGAGAUUGUAAGUGCAUCUAGUGCCACCCCUAGUUGGUUUUGGAGUAUUGACGACAAACCUAGUUGAGGGACUAAUGUGUUUGUGAGAAUUGCAGAAUAACACAGGUAGAAGUCCCUCUUUGAUUCGGUUUAGCUACCAGAGAUGACCCCCAAAAAUGUAUGAAGAUAUUGAAGACAAUGGUGGUUCAUGAAGACAUUCAUGUCGAAGACAAUGACAUAUGAAGACUCCCCAUGAAGCUUUUGGAACUCGAAGACUUAGAUCCUUCGUAGCUUUACUUUAUUCAUGUUGUGUCAUAGGAACCACCGUACUGUUAAGUGGGGUCCAAGAAAACCAGUCAGGAUGACUGAAGUGAUGCCUAAUUCAAAUCCUAUGUCUUCAAGUGAAGACAAUGAGAGAAAAAUCUUGUCCAGAGUCAGACAAGUCAGCUUUACUUGCAGCCCAAGUAAAGUUGCCGCGAGAGUUCAAAAUCCGACCGUUAGUACACGUGUCAGUUCCUUAGUGACCCAGGGUCAUUUCGGACAAAUCAGGUCAGGGUUGCCAAGUGGCUAUAUAUAGCCCACCCCCACAACCAUAAACGGUUGGCUGCUCAGAUUUCAGUGCACGGCUUUUGUCGUUUGAGAGCAACCCACCUCGAAACCUUUGAGAGAAAAUCCUUAGUGAGGAGAAAAGCCCUAACCACCCAGAGCCAGAGUAAAUUGGGCAUCACUUAAGUCUUCUUGUCUGUGUGAUCUGAAGACUUAUUACACUUGAGGACUGUGCAUCCUCCAGACGGUUAGGCGUCGCGUUCUGAGCAUCCAAGAGUAAUUGUGGAUUGCCGGUGAACGAAGUCUGUGAAGGUUCGGGAGUCUACCUUGAAGACUUACCUGAGUGAUUGGGCGAGGUCUGUGUGACCUUAGCUCAAGGAGAAUACGGUGAGGACUGGGUGUCUUGGACUAAGUGUCCUUGACUGGGUGUCCGGGACUGUGUGUCCUUUGGUUUGAAUACCUAGCCGCUCCAACCAGACGUACAGUUGUCACAGCAACUGGAACUGGUCCAACAAAUCAUUGUCUUCAACGUGUCACUGGUUUCAUCUUCACUUCCCUUCAACUUACUGUUAUUCAUUGAGAAGCCAUUGCAUGCUUGCUCUAUCUUUUGUCUUCACAACAUAACUGUAUGAUUUGAUUGGCUUCAUAACUUCUUCCUACCUGAUCCUAAUUACACUGAAGCUAUUGUUGCUGUGCUUUCACUCUAUUGAAUACUUGACCUUAGCUUGCUUGUGUAAUCUAACUUCCGCUGCAUAAUGAUAGGCAUAUCUUCACUGUUUGUCUUCAUAACUUCCACGUUUUGAAGACUUUCAUAAAAAUCGCCUAUUCACCCCCCCUCUAGUCGAUAUAACGCACUUUCACAAGUUCUCCAAGUGUGAAUUUUGGCUCGAUGAGGUGCUUUAUCUUGGUCAUAUCAUCUCUGCCAAGGGCAUUGCCGUGAAUCCUGAGAAGGUGUCUGCAAUUGUUAAUUGGGAACCUCCUCAGAACGUGAAGCAACUCCGUAGCUUCCUCGGUCUCGCAAGCUAUUGCCGAAGAUUCGUUGAAAACUUUUCCAAGAUCGCGAAGCCUCUCUCAAAUCUUCUCCAGAAGCACGUCAAGUACGUUUGGUCUCCGGAGUGUGAUAUUGCUUUCAACACUUUGAAAGAGAAGUUGAUCACUGCUCCAGUUCUAACUCCACCUGAUGAAACCAAGCCGUACGAGGUCUUUUGUGAUGCCUCUCUCCAAGGUCUCGGUGCUGUACUGAUGCAAGAGAAGAAAGUUGUUGCUUAUACCUCUCGCCAGUUGAAGCCUAAUGAGAAGAACUACCCCACUCAUGAUCUCAAGUUGGCGGCAGUUGUGCAUGCUUUGUUGACUUGGAGACAUCUUCUAUUGGGAAGGAAAGUGGACAUUUUCACUGAUCACAAGAGUCUCAAGUACAUCUUCACCCAGCCUAAUCUCAACCUCAGGCAGACUCGAUGGGUCGAAAUGAUUCAAGAAUACAAUCCGAGUAUCGAAUAUACUCCAGGAAAGGCCAAUGUGAUUGCUGACGCUUUGAGCAGAAAAGCAUAUUGCAACAGUCUGAUUCUCAAGCCUUAUCAACCCGAGCUUUGUGAAGCUUUCCGCAAACUUAAUCUGCAAAUUGUUCCUCAAGGUUUCCUCGCCAACCUUCAAGUCUCUCCUACCUUGGAAGACCAGAUUCGCCAAGCCCAGCUUCUUGAUGCUAUGGUGAAAAAGGUGAAGAUUGGUAUUGCAAAGAGUCAAUCCAAGUACAAGUGCUACCGACUUGAUGACAAGGACACUCUCUUCUUCGAGGAUCGAAUUGUUGUGCCCAAAGGUGAACUUCGUAAAGUGAUCAUGAACGAGGCUCACAACUCUCUCCUCUCCAUCCACCCUGGGAGCACGAAGAUGUAUCAGGAUCUCAAGCAAACUUAUUGGUGGACUCGAAUGAAGCGCGAGAUCGCUCAAUUCGUGAAUGAAUGUGAUGUCUGCAGAAGAGUGAAGGCAGAACACCAAAGGCCAGCAGGUCUCCUCCAACCUCUUGCCAUUCCAGAAUGGAAGUUUGACCACAUUGAAAUGGACUUCGUGACUGGGUUUCCAAAAUCCAAGCGUGGCAAUGAUGCUAUAUUCGUUGUCAUCGACAAGCUCACCAAAGUGGCUCACUUUCUGCCUAUCAAAGAGUCAAUCACUGCAGCUCAAUUGGCGGAACUCUAUACCUCUCGAAUUGUCUCUCUGCACGGUAUUCCUCAAGUGAUAUCUUCAGACCAUGGCAGCAUCUUUACCUCCAAGUUUUGGGAUUCUUUUCAGAAGGCCAUGGGCACCAACAUCCGCUUCAGCACUGCUUUCCAUCCUCAAACAAGCGGUCAAGUCGAGCGUGUCAACCAGAUUCUUGAAGAUAUGCUCAGGGCUUGUGCUAUCUCCUUCGGCAUGAAGUGGGAGGAUUGUCUUCCUUAUGCUGAAUUCUCAUACAACAACAGUUUUCAAGCAAGUUCGGGCAAGGCCCCAUUUGAAAUUAUGUAUGGUAGAAAAUGCCGUACCCCUCUCAACUGGUCUGAAACCGGUGAACGUCAGCUGCUGGGUAAUGACUUAAUCACAGAGGCAUAAGAAAUGUGCAAGGUCAUUCGUGAUAACCUCAAAGCAGCCCAAUCCCGCCAGAAGAGCUACUAUGAUAGUAAGCACCGUGAUUUGGCUUUCGAGAUCGAAGAUCAUGUUUACCUCUGCGUCUCUCCUAUGAAAGGGACUCGUCGCUUCGGUAUCAAAGGGAAGCUUGCCCCCAGAUACGUCGGACCUUUCAAGAUUGUCAGCAAGAGAGGCGACCUCGCCUAUCAACUCGAGCUUCCUUCAAACUUUGCAAAUGUUCAUGAUGUGUUCCAUGUCUCCCAACUCCGAAAGUGCUUCAAGACGCCUGAGCGCACCAUCAACUUCGAGGACAUUGAGCUCCAAGAAGAACUCUCCUAUCGUGAGCACCCAGUUGCCAUUCUUGAAGAGACUAAACGCAGGACUCGCAACAAGUCAAUCAAAUUUCUCAAAGUCAAGUGGUCACACCAUUCCGACCGUGAAGCUACCUGGGAACGCGAGGAUCACCUCCGUUCUGAGUACCCGGAGUUCUUUCAGUCCUAGAUCUCGGGACGAGAUCUUUUCGUAGUGGUGGAGUGUUGUAACGCCCCAGAUAUAACUUUCCCAAUUUGUACUCCAACUCUUGCCGUUUCCGGCAUUAAGUUAUAUUUAUUUCUCGGGUUCGGGUCUUUGUCUACGUGUGUUGUUUUCUUUUUCAUGCAUCUCAUGUCAUGUCAUCACGUGCAUUGCAUUUGCAUACAUGUUCAUCUCAUGCAUUCGAGCAUUUUCCCCGUUGUCCGUUUUGCAUUCCGGCGCUUCGUUCUCCUCCGGUGGUCAUUUCUAGCUUUCUUUCGUGUGUGGGGAUUAAACAUUUCCGGAUUGGACCGAGACUUGCCAUGCGGCCUUGGUUUACUGCCGGUAGAUAGCCUGUCAAGUUUCGUACCAUUUGGACUUCGUUUGUUACUCCAACGGUUAACCGAGGGACCGAAAAGGCCUCGUGUGUGUUGCAGCCCAACACCCCUCCAAUUUGGCCCAAAACCCACCAAAUCUGCUCCAUGUUCUAGAGCGUUCGAUCACGAUCGCGUGGCCGAAAACCGCACCUCAUUUGGACUCUCCUAGCUCCACUUAUGCCUAUAAAUAGCCCCCCCUCCAUUUUCGGAUCUCUCCCUCUCCGAAACCCUAGCAAAAUCAUCUCUCCGCCGCCGGACAUGUCCGCCUCCUAGCGGACGAAAUCGCCGCCGCCUAAGCCUCUCUCCACCCGACAAGUGGCAGCCGCCACCUACCACCGCCGCCGGCCCGCCCGACCCAGGCGCGGCCCUCCUUGGCCCGUGCGGAGCCGCCGCCGUCCCGCGGGUUCACCGGGCGUCUUCCCCAGCCCCGGCGCCCGAGCCGCCACUCCCNNNNNNNNNNNNNNNNNNNNNNNNNNNNNNNNNNNNNNNNNNNNNNNNNNNNNNNNNNNNNNNNNNNNNNNNNNNNNNNNNNNNNNNNNNNNNNNNNNNNNNNNNNNNNNNNNNNNNNNNNNNNNNNNNNNNNNNNNNNNNNNNNNNNNNNNNNNNNNNNNNNNNNNNNNNNNNNNNNNNNNNNNNNNNNNNNNNNNNNNNNNNNNNNNNNNNNNNNNNNNNNNNNNNNNNNNNNNNNNNNNNNNNNNNNNNNNNNNNNNNNNNNNNNNNNNNNNNNNNNNNNNNNNNNNNNNNNNNNNNNNNNNNNNNNNNNNNNNNNNNNNNNNNNNNNNNNNNNNNNNNNNNNNNNNNNNNNNNNNNNNNNNNNNNNNNNNNNNNNNNNNNNNNNNNNNNNNNNNNNNNNNNNNNNNNNNNNNNNNNNNNNNNNNNNNNNNNNNNNNNNNNNNNNNNNNNNNCGCCCCGGCGACCGCGGCCGGACUCCGGCGCCUCUUCCUCGCCGCCUCACCACACCGUCCGUCGCCGCCCGGAGCACGCCGGCGCCGCUCCGGCCACCGCCACCGAUUCCGGCACCGGCCAUCCUCAAUUUUCGCUCGCGUGAACAGUACCGCUACAGUGCUAGAUCUGGAUCUGGGAUCCCCCGGUUGACUUUUCCCCUCCAACCCUAAUUUUUCGUGCAUAGUUUGACCUAUCAUAUCUUUGCAUCCGUAGCUCCGUUUUGGACAUAUGAUAUAUCAAAAUCUUCGUCUCGACGAGUACAUCAUUUCAUUCCAUUGCAUCAUUUGCAUUUGAGUUCAUCUUGAUGCCCAAAAUGCUGUUAGAAGGAGGCAUCGUGAGUUAAAUUGCAGUUCCGUUAGUUCAUCAUUGACUUUUGUCAUUUUUGCCAUGAUUAUUGUGUGCAUGAUAUGCAUGUGAGUCUUUGGGAUGAAUUGUUAAGCAUUUUGUCUUGUUUCCAGAGGUGCCACCCAUGCAUUUUUAGGAUGUGUGUGGUGACUUGUGCAAGCUUGCAAAGAGAGGCACCUGAGAAUUCUGUUUUCAGGGACUUAGUGAUUUUCACUAAGUCUGGGUUAUUUUAGUUCAUGAUGCCAUAUGUUCAGCUUGUUUCCUAGUGAUUCGUGCCUCUUUUGAGGAUGAUCAGUAAGGGAGUUUUGAUAUUCAUGUUAUGCUCUAUCUAUCCUUGUCUUUGUUUGCAUAUGUGGAGUGCUCUAGCUUGAGUCAAUCGAGUUCUACUUUUGCUUCGUGGUAAAUCUGGGCAGAUCGUCAACUUGUUUGCGAUUUUGCCGAUGCUAUUGUUAGUGAUCCGUGCAUGCUAUGCCAUUGUUAUUGCCAUGUCUGGCUAGCAUUUUGUGCCUUCUUUAUGGAUAUAUGCUUUCCUUGCCAUGACUUGCACCGUAGUGAGUGCAUCGAGCUCGUUUACAUGCCUUCGUGAGUUAUAUUUUCAGCAUGUCUCAGUUUUCACUAAGUCUGAAAACUGAUUGUGUUUCAUCUAUGUUCGUGUGCUCGUUAGAGUAUUUUGUGAACCCUUUUGGCCCCAGGUCACUUUGGGUGUUUUGUUAACCUUGUUGAGUAGCUCCAUGCCAUGUUCUUACUUGUCAUGUUCAGGUUGUGUAUCAUGUUUUUUUGCUGCUCUGAAGAGAGCAUCGUGGUCUGAAAUUUCAGACUAGUGUUAAUUUCACUAAGUCUGAAAUCUGUUUUGCUUAUUCGUUUUUGCCAUGCUUGUUUGAACCUCAUAAUGGAUGAAUUUGGUUAUGGCUCAGUGCUAGUGUUUUGACAAGCAUCUUGUGUAUAUCCCUGCCAUGUAUUUUUUUUCAUGUUUGGUGGCUGUAGCAUGUUCGUUUCGUUGUAUUUAGGAGCCUACUUGCUGUAAAUCGCAGAUCGGUUCGUUUCGUAAAACGCUUGCCAUUUCCAAACCGUAGCUCUGAUUCCUAUGAUCUUUAUAUCGUUUUCAGGUGAUUUCAUCCCCUCUAUCCAGUGGUACACUUGGUUUUCCAAGUUGAGGCCAGUUUCAUGCAUUUCCUGUCACGUCUUGCAUUUUGCAUCCCGCAUAGCAUACCAUCUUUGCAUCUUAUUGCUUGAGUUUGCACGUGGUUGAUUGUAUCCUUGUUGCUUGUUUGUGCUGUUGGGUAGAGCCAGGAGACGAGUUCGCUAACGAGGAGCCCGUUGAGUUUGCUUUUGAGGAUCCAGUCAACUCUGACAACUGUGCAUGCAAGAUGAUCAUACCCUCGAAAUCACUACUAUCUUUGCUAUGCUAGGUUGCUCGCUCUUUUGGUUUGCCAAUGCUACGAUGCCUACCACUUGCUUGUCAGCCUCCCAAUUGCCAUGAUUGAGCCUCUAACCCACCAUUGUCCUAGCAAACCGUUGAUUGGCUAUGUUACCGCUUUGCUCAGCCCCCUUCUUAUAGCGUUGCUAGUUGCAGGUGAAGAUUGGAGCCGUUCCUUGUUGGAACCUUUAUUUACUUGUUGGGAUAUCAUUAUAUUGCUAUGUUAUCUUAAUGCAUCUAUAUACUUGGUAAAGGGUGGAAGGCUCGGCCUCUCGCCUAGUGUUUUGUUCCACUCUUGCCGCCCUAGUUUCCGUCAUAUCGGUGUUAUGUUCCCGGAUUUUUGCGUCCCUUACGCGGUUGGGCUAUAAUGGGAACCCCUUGAUAGUUCGCCUUGAUUAAAGCUUUUCCAGCAAUGCCCAACAUUGGUUUUACCAUUUGCCACCUAGCCUCUUUUUCCCUUGGGUUUCCGGAGCCCGAGGGUCAUCUUAUUUUANNNNNNNNNNNNNNNNNNNNNNNNNNNNNNNNNNNNNNNNNNNNNNNNNNNNNNNNNNNNNNNNNNNNNNNNNNNNNNNNNNNNNNNNNNNNNNNNNNNNNNNNNNNNNNNNNNNNNNNNNNNNNNNNNNNNNNNNNNNNNNNNNNNNNNNNNNNNNNNNNNNNNNNNNNNNNNNNNNNNNNNNNNNNNNNNNNNNNNNNNNNNNNNNNNNNNNNNNNNNNNNNNNNNNNNNNNNNNNNNNNNNNNNNNNNNNNNNNNNNNNNNNNNNNNNNNNNNNNNNNNNNNNNNNNNNNNNNNNNNNNNNNNNNNNNNNNNNNNNNNNNNNNNNNNNNNNNNNNNNNNNNNNNNNNNNNNNNNNNNNNCAGUGCUCCUCUAAGUGUUGGUCCAACUGUCAGCUGCCGGUGGCCACCAGGGGCACCUCUGGGCUGGCCUACCCGUACCUAAGACAAUCUGAGUGUGCCCUGAGAAAGAGAUAGGUGCAGCUCCUAUCGGGAUUUGUCGGCACAUUCGGGCGGUGUUGCUGGACUUGUUUUAACCUGUCGAAUCGUCUUGUUGUACCGAGAUACCGAGUCUGAUCGGUGUGUCUUGGGUGGAGGUCUAUUCCUUCGUUGACCGUGAGAGCUUGUUAUGGGCUAAGUUGGGACCCCCCCUGUAGGGAUUGAUCUUUCGAAAGCCGUGCCCGCGGUUAUGGGCAGAUGGGAAUUUGUUAAUGUCCGGUUGUAGAUAACUUGAACCUUAAUUAAUUAAAAUGAAUCAACUGAGUGUGUUUCCGUGAUGGCCUCUUCUCGGCGGAGUUCGGGAAGUGGACACGGUGUUGGAGUUAUGUUUGCGCAGGUUGCUCUCUAGUUUCUCGCUCGCGCCUUGCUCUCUCUUCUCGCUCUCUUUUGGGAAUAAGUUAGCCACCAUAUAUGCUAGUCGCUUGCUGCAGCUCCACUUAUACAUUACCCCUUUCCUACCUAUUAAGCUUAAAUAGUCUUGAUCGCGAGGGUGCGAGAUUGCUGAGUCGCUGUGGCUCACAGAUUACUAUUACACUAGAUGCAGGGACAGAUGAUACAGCUCCAGAUGGCGCGCUUGAGCUCAAGUGGGAGUACGACGAGGACUCUCAGCGUUACUAUGUGUCUUUUCCUGAUGAUCAGUAGUGGUGCCCAUUCGGGGUUAGAUUCAGGGCCUGUUCGCAUGUUGGGGGUCUUUACUAUUUCGGCGCCGUGGUCGGGCCAUGAGUGAUUUGUAUGAUGGGUGUUAUUUAUGUAAUUUGAUGUGACGUGGCGAGUGUAAGCCAACUAUGUUCCUCCCCUUUAUAUUAUUUAUGUACAUGGGAUGUGUGAUGAUUUCCCGGCUUGCGACAUUGCUUUCAAUGCGGUUAUGCCUCUAAGUCGUGCCUCGACACGUGGGAGAUAUAGCCGCAUCGAGGGCGUUACAUACUCCCUCCUUUUUAGAUCACUAAAGUAUUGAUCUAAAAUCUCGCAAAAAAAGUACUGAUCUAAAAAGUCUUAUAUUUAGUGCUCUAAAAAGUCUUAGAUUUAGUAAAAGUCUUAUAUUACUUUACAGGGGAGUACUGUGUUCAAAAUUUAUAGAAAAAUUGCAAUAUGAAUGUUCUGUUUCACAUAUUUCCAUAUAAAAACUACAUUUUUGUGCCUGAGAGAAAAAAAC